CCUACGGGUGGCUGCAGUGGGGAAUAUUGGACAAUGGGUGGAACCCUGAUCCAGCCAUGCCGCGUGUGUGAAGAAGGCCCUCGGGUUGUAAAGCACUUUCAGUGAGGAAGAACGCCUGGUGGUUAAUACCCAUCAGGAAAGACAUCACUCACAGAAGAAGCACCGGCUAACUCCGUGCCAGCAGCCGCGGUAAUACGGAGGGUGCGAGCGUUAAUCGGAAUUACUGGGCGUAAAGCGCGCGUAGGUGGCUUGAUAAGCCGGUUGUGAAAGCCCCGGGCUCAACCUGGGAACGGCAUCCGGAACUGUCAAGCUAGAGUGCAGGAGAGGAAGGUAGAAUUCCCGGUGUAGCGGUGAAAUGCGUAGAGAUCGGGAGGAAUACCAGUGGCGAAGGCGGCCUUCUGGACUGACACUGACACUGAGGUGCGAAAGCGUGGGUAGCAAACAGGAUUAGAUACCCUUGUAGUC
rnacentral:rRNA from 1 species